CCUACGGGAGGCAGCAGUGAGGAAUAUUGGGCAAUGGGCGGAAGCCUGAACCAGCCAAGUAGCGUGCAGGAUGACGGCCCUACGGGUUGUAAACUGCUUUUAUACGGGAAUAACGCGCCUUACGUGUAGGGCUUUGCAUGUACCGUAUGAAUAAGGACCGGCUAAUUACGUGCCAGCAGCCGGGGUAAUACGGAAGGUUCGGGCGUUAUCCGGAUUUAUGGGGGGUAAAGGGAGCGUAGGCCGCAUGUCAAGCGUGCUGUGAAAUGUCCGGGCUCAACCCGGGCCUUGCAGCGCGAACUGGCGUGCUUGAGUCCGCUGAAAGCAGGCGGAAUUCGUCGUGUAGCGGUGAAAUGCUUAGAUAUGACGAAGAACCCCGAUUGCGAAGGCAGCUUGCUGCAGCGGAACUGACGCUGAUGCUCGAAAGCGCGGGUAUCGAACAGGAUUAGAUACCCCUGUAGUC
rnacentral:rRNA from 1 species